GACGAACGCCGGCGGCGUGCUUAACACAUGCAAGUCGAGCGAUGAAGUUCCUUCGGGAAUGGAUUAGCGGCGGACGGGUGAGUAACACGUGGGUAACCUGCCUCAUAGAGGGGAAUAGCCUUCCGAAAGGAAGAUUAAUACCGCAUAAGAUCGUAGUUUCGCAUGAAACAGCAAUUAAAGGAGUAAUCCGCUAUGAGAUGGACCCGCGUCGCAUUAGCUAGUUGGUGAGGUAACGGCUCACCAAGGCGACGAUGCGUAGCCGACCUGAGAGGGUGAUCGGCCACAUUGGGACUGAGACACGGCCCAGACUCCUACGGGAGGCAGCAGUGGGGAAUAUUGCACAAUGGGGGAAACCCUGAUGCAGCAACGCCGCGUGAGUGAUGACGGUCUUCGGAUUGUAAAACUCUGUCUUCAGGGACGAUAAUGACGGUACCUGAGGAGGAAGCCACGGCUAACUACGUGCCAGCCGCCACCGUAAUAC
rnacentral:rRNA from 1 species